rnacentral:lncRNA from 1 species
CAUUAAAGAAACAAAAUUAGUUGACCAGACGAUCAAAUAAUAUGCUUCCAAUUUCUUGUCUUUUAUUUCCUUUUCUAAUUCCAUCGUUGUGGUUCUAUUCCUCUCUUUCCUUUUUAUUUGGCAGGGGAAGGGGGUGAUGGUUUCCCAGAAUCAGUCAAAAUUAAGUUUCCUGCGAGCAAUCAGACAGAACUACAAUUACAAAUUGCAGCAGUCAAAAUCCUCCCAGUCAUACCCCCAGGGAUUUUCGAUUCUCACUGUAUGUGGAUACGCAUGUAUUGCCUUUAGUUAUACACGAACCAAGGAAUUGAAUCUUUCUAGAGACGUAUAUAUUAGAUGUAAGCUUUUGUUUGCACUCAAAUUUAACAGGUAUUAUUACUACCUUGUGGUUUUGGUUGAGAGACGGGACGUCUUUGAGCAGCUUGAAUAUUUGCCAGAGAAGGAGAUGGUUUUGGCUCUUCUUGUGGCUCAAUGUCAUCCCAACCAUCUUUGUCACUGCCAUUACCCUCGUGAAUUCCAUUUUCAAGUUCUCCCCAUCCAUCAGUUGACGUUGGGGAUACAGGUACAGGAUGAUCUGCCACAUCUGCUCCUACUCUUAUAUGGACCCUACCCUCAUGAAUUCCAUUUUCAAGUUCUCCCCAUCCAUCAGUUGACGUUGGGGAUACAGGUACAGGAUGAUCUGCCACAUCUGCUCCUGCUCUUAUACGGACUGGUGUUAUACUCGAACUAUCUGCAACUAUGUGAUUUGGAAAAUCAAUAUCAAUAGCAAUUCCAGAGAUAAAGGCAUCAUCAUAUGCAUAAAACUCAUUUUUGAAAUAAGCAAUGUGACAAUAAUCUUGGUUAUCCACCAAGGGCAGUAGCAUUAUUAAAAGAAAUUGGCAAGAGGA